CUUUUUAGGAUUAGACAUCGAUAUUUUAGACGAGUCUUCUAUUUUUAAGGACUGAUGUCAUUUUUAAUGUGUCUCUUAUUUUUAAGGACC
rnacentral:pre_miRNA from 1 species